UACGUAGGGUGCGAGCGUUAAUCGGAAUUACUGGGCGUAAAGUGUGCGCAGGCGGCCGCGCAAGUCGAGUGUGAAAUCCCCGAGCUUAACUUGGGAAUUGCGCUCGAAACUACGUGGCUGGAGUGUGGCAGAGGAAGGUGGAAUUCCACGUGUAGCGGUGAAAUGCGUAGAGAUGUGGAGGAACACCGAUGGCGAAGGCAGCCUUCUGGGCCAACACUGACGCUCAGGCACGAAAGCGUGGGGAGCAAACAGG
rnacentral:rRNA from 1 species